GAAGCCGGCCAGACGGUCGCUGCGUGCCGCAGGGUACGGAGAGGAAAGUCCGGGCUCCAUAGAGCAGGGUGACGGCUAACGGCCGUACGUACUAGUCGGAGGCUUGCCUUUGGCGAAGACGAGGAAUAGGGCCACAGAGACGAGUCCUUGGGACCGGCGCGCGGACUCGUCCGCGCGUCUGGCGCCCAAGGGGUGAAACGCGGUAACCUCCACCCGGAGCAACACCAAAUAGGCGGAUGCUGCACGCGCAGGCUUGGCGUGCUAUGAGCGGCUCGCUCAAGUUCGCGGGUAGGUGGCUGGAGCCCUGGGGCAACCCAGGGCCUAGAGGAAUGACCGUCAUAGGGAGCAAUCCCCGUAACAGAACCCGGCUUACCGGCCGGCUUCACUU
rnacentral:RNase_P_RNA from 1 species